AGUGAUGUGGGGCGACAUAGGCAUGGUUUGAGUUUGUUUAAUAAACUUGAAACCUCCUACUAUGUCGCAGAAUAAUUAG